rnacentral:lncRNA from 1 species
UCGGGUGCCCCUGUUCUCUCAUGAGUAUAUAUUGGAAUCCUUUUAUUGUAAAGAUUCUCAUAUAUUGACCCGAAAUCCGUCACCUCGUAGCCCGAUAUUUUUGAACUCGAUCCAUCUCUAUUACAACUUACAGGUGGUAUUAUAUUAAUUGAAAAAUAAUAUCAGAAGGAGUAAGGAAAUUGAUUCUCUCCGGAGUUAUCUUUACGGAAGAGAUAAAUCCACCUAUUUUCGAAAUUAUAAGAGAAUGAUCCCUUCCCGGAUAUUUAUAAAUCCUACCCUGUACCACCGAUUGAGGAAACAAUUAUUCCUGGAUGCUGCGUCAAUAAAUGGAGCUUUAUUAAAAGGAAUUCAUACACUUUCGAUUAUCAUUUAAAUCUUAAGCAUUGGAGUGGCAAAUUGUAGUACACAAAGGCCCUAAAAUGCUAACUUUGAGCAUACUAUUAUCACUACUAUUGUGGUGGAUUCUAGGUGCUAUGUCAAUGCAUUGAGCUUUAUUACUUUAAGCCAUUUUAUUUACACAUUACUACUUUUUCAGAGUAGCAUCAAUUCGUUAUUAUACGUAUAUCUCUUCCUUGAAGCUUACUCGUAUUUCAAAUGUUUUAAGUGUAUUCGAUUCUCUGGUAUACUUUUUAUGUGUACUGUAUAGAUUAUAAUGGAUUGGAAACGCUCUCAAGGUACAGGCAUGAAAAUGAUACAAUCUGAUCGAAUGGAACAGCAUAAAAAAAGAUUAUUUUCUCUAUUGUAAGGAAUAUACAUUAUACCAAAACAAGAAAUAUUAUUAUUAAUCCAAGUAGAAGAGUUUACUCAUUUGAUCUAACAACGAAAAAAUAAUAAAAAUUAGCAUACAAUAACUCCUUAUAUGAAGAGAUAUGAGAAGUGUAUCUAUUGAGAGAAAAAGAGAGAGAUAGUAUCAAGUCAUGCAAGAUUAAUAUGGCUUGUAUACUAUAUGUGUACCUACGGACAAAUUAAAUUGAAUAUGGGCGUAAAUAGAGUAGGGGAAAAAAUCAAUCUAGUUCAUUUGCCAAGUUCUAAUUUAUUUUAUAAAAGUUAGAUUGUUUGAAAAUACAAACUUAUGUUCUAUAUAUAUAUAUCACUAAAUGAGACUGUAUUGUUGUCGUUUACUUAGCCCUUUACUCCAUGUACAUAUUAUAUUAGGUAUAAUGCUUAUCCAUUGUGUUAUUAUAUGUACAUAUCACAUACCUUACUAGUCUUGAAACAACGAUGUUCCUUCAUUUUUGUUUAACGCCAUGUAAUUAUCCUCUUCACAUGUUCCACCAUCAAUGUAACAAAUUUCAAUUUUUUAAAUCGUUUUUAAUUAAUGUACUUACAAAAUCUACUACUACUGAGCCUUGUGUAUGAUGCAUCACUAUUAUUUAUUAUAAUAAUACAGAAUAUGAUUUUUCUUUCUUUAACUUAUCUAUUUUCAUGCAAUAUAUGUAUGUAUGUUCAUAUAAUUAGAAUAAGAUAGCCUCAAUCUUUUUUAAUACAUAGAUUAUUAUAAUAUGUUGUAUCUCCGGAAUAAUAACUUGUAAUUAGGUUGUCCUUGCUUCAAAA